GGGCGGUUAGCUCAGUUGGUUAGAGCGCCACGUUGACAUCGUGGAGGUCACAAGUUCGAGUCUUGUACCACCCA
rnacentral:tRNA from 1 species